rnacentral:rRNA from 1 species
UACGUAGGGUGCAAGCGUUGUCCGGAAUUAUUGGGCGUAAAGCGCGCGUAGGCGGCUACUUAAGUCGGAUGUGAAAGCCCCUGGCUCAACUGGGGAAGUGCACCCGAAACUGAGUGGCUUGAGUACUAAAGAGGGUCGCGGAAUUCCCGGUGUAGAGGUGAAAUUCGUAGAUAUCGGGAGGAACACCGGUGGCGAAGGCGGCGACCUGGGUAGAUACUGACGCUGAGGCGCGAAAGCGUGGGGAGCAAACAGG